CCCCUUUCAGAGUCUCACCUGGAGAGUUUCCCUUACUCUUCCAGUCACGACUACAGGAGGGAGAGUCAAGCAGAGGCCUACCCAUUCCAUUCCUAGCUUGUACAGAAGCUAGUGAGUGGCAGGCAAUCCGCUACAAAU